rnacentral:lncRNA from 1 species
GAUCAAAUCUUUAUCUGGAUAGUAGCAGAAUAGGAGAUCAAAUCUUCAAAUAUCUGGAAUCAACUUUUAUGGAGGUUUGAAAGUACAGACUCUCUACUUCAUAUGCACGCCAGACAAUGCAGGAAAGCAGGAUGAACUCCGAUCAAAGCACCUUCGCAACCCAACCAAAUGAGGGAGGAGAGAUGCUGGUGUGACACCUCAUACCAGUAAGGGGGAUGCCCA